AGGACGAACGCUGGCGGCGUGCUUAACACAUGCAAGUCGAACGGUAAGGCCCUUCGGGGUACACGAGUGGCGAACGGGUGAGUAACACGUGGGUGAUCUGCCCUGCACUUUGGGAUAAGCCUGGGAAACUGGGUCUAAUACCGAAUAUGACCAUGGGAUGCAUGUCUCGUGGUGGAAAGCUUUUGCGGUGUGGGAUGGGCCCGCGGCCUAUCAGCUUGUUGGUGGGGUUACGGCCUACCAAGGCGACGACGGGUAGCCGGCCUGAGAGGGUGUCCGGACACACUGGAACUGAAACACGGUCCAGACUCCUACGGGAGGCAGCAGUGGGGAAUUUUGCGCAAUGGGGGAAACCCUGACGCAGCAACGCCGCGUGGAGGAUGAAAUAUCUUGGUAUGUAAACUCCUUUCGAUGGGGAAGAUAAUGACGGUACCCAUAGAAGAAGCCCCGGCUAACUUCGCGCCAGCAGCCGC
rnacentral:rRNA from 1 species